CUGCGAUUUGAUGAUUAUAAUCAU
rnacentral:siRNA from 1 species